rnacentral:sRNA from 1 species
GUUUGAACUAUUAGGUUAAAACGAAG